ACAAAAUGAGCCAAUAUACAAUAUUUUUACAAAAAAUUACAGAAUUCAACUAUCACUGAUGAUUUUGUUUUGAUUAAUAUGACAAUCAUAUAUAUCACACUGAAAAUCUGGAAACCCAAACUUCUAAAAAAAAGUGUGACCUUUGUUGUUUUCAAACUCAAAUAACACUUUUUGUUUUCACUACAGAUGGUUUUAAUAUGGCAAUAGGAGUUUUAUUAUGAUAAUUAUAUGGCACAAUUGUCCCUAAGUUUUCAUUGUAUUAAAAAAGAACUAAAACUACCUCCAGUAAUCAUUUUACUGGUAUCUGACUUGUAAUCUUUUUAAAAUAAAAUACAUUUUGUACUCUUUCUUCAGUUUAACAUGUUUUAUUU
rnacentral:lncRNA from 1 species